rnacentral:lncRNA from 1 species
UUAUUUCCUCUUGAUAUGUUAACCGUUCUAAUGUAACACACAAAAUCUUCUUCCUGACUUUCAAGGACUCAGACACAGGCACUACAAGUAACUCACAGGAGCCAUUUUUCUCAUUGGAGAUAGAGAAUUCCAUGCUGAAGAAUCUACCAGGGAAGGAGAACUCCAAGAGCAAAAUUUACUCUGCUAAUCCUCAUGCUCACUGCCAUGGUGCCACAGACACCCUUGACUGUUCCACACCUGUGCAAAAAGUUUGCCAGAGAAGAUUAAAUUGUGGCUUCUGCAAGGUCUUCAUUCUGGAGGCUCACCAGAAAGGAAAGAAACAUUGCAAUAGAGAAUGAAGCGGAAAUUUAGACCUAUUAUCUUCUGAAAGUCCUGAACUCCCAUCCCUACCUUGCAAGGGAUUCCUCCAUUAACAGAAGCUAAUGCUAUCCCUGAAGGCAAGUUCCUUCCCAAGGGCAAUUCUGUUGGAAUGUUGGCUGCACAUCUUCCCAAGUAUUGUGGUAACUUCUCCAAAUGUAAGUUCAGUAACAUAAAUGUCUUUCUGUAGCCAGUUUAUGUCUAUUAUUGAGUAAUGUGAUAAUGUGUUACAAUUUCCUGGUAACAUUUAGAAUAUUUACUGUCAUAGAGAGAUUUUGGAAUUAUGCCUAAAUUGCUUUACCUGGGUUAUAUAUAAUGCCUUUAUUAUGCAGAACACAAAGUGCUU